rnacentral:rRNA from 1 species
CAAUACACCAUACCACUUUGAAAACACGAGUUCUCGUCCGAUCACUAGAGUUAAGCAAUUUUGGACCUGGUUAGUACUUACAGUGGCGGCCGGAUUUUAGUGUUGG